rnacentral:rRNA from 1 species
UACGUAGGGGGCAAGCGUUGUCCGGAUUUAUUGGGCGUAAAGAGCGUGUAGGCGGCUAGAUAGGUCCGUUGUGAAAACUCGAGGCUCAACCUCGAGACGCCGGUGGAAACCAUCUAGCUAGAGUCCGGAAGAGGAGAGUGGAAUUCCUGGUGUAGCGGUGAAAUGCGCAGAUAUCAGGAAGAAUAUCCGUGGCGAAGGCGGCUCUCUGGGACGGUACUGACGCUGAGACGCGAAAGCGUGGGGAGCGAACAGG